CCUAUGAAGCUUUACUGUAACUUGAAAUUGAAAUUGGACUUUAUUUGCGCAGCAUAGGUGGGAGGCGUUGAGGAUAGUCUUGCGGGACUAUAGGAGCCAUCAGUGAGAUACCACUCUGGUAAUGUUAGAUUUCUAACUUUGUAUCAUGAUCUGGUCAAAGGACAGUUUCAGGCGGGCAGUUUGACUGGGGCGGUCGCCUCCCAAAUGGUAACGGAGGCGUACAAAGGUUUCCUCUGAACGUGUAGAAAUCGUAUCUAGAGUGUAAAGGCAUAAGGAAGCUUGACUGUGAGACCUACAAGUCGAGCAGGGACGAAAGUCGGUCUUAGUGAUCUGACGGUGCUGAGUGGAAAGG
rnacentral:rRNA from 1 species